GUAGGGCGGGACACGUGGUAUCCUGUCUGAAUAUGGGGGGACCAUCCUCCAAGGCUAAAUACUCCUGACUGACCGAUAGUGAACCAGUACCGUGAGGGAAAGGCGAAAAGAACCCCGGCGAGGGGAGUGAAACAGAACCUGAAACCGUGUACGUACAAGCAGUGGGAGCACCUUCGUGGUGUGACUGCGUACCUUUUGUAUAAUGGGUCAGCGACUUAUAUUCUGUAGCAAGGUUAACCGUAUAGGGGAGCCGAAGGGAAACCGAGUCUUAACUGGGCGUUAAGUUGCAGGGUAUAGACCCGAAACCCGGUGAUCUAGCCAUGGGCAGGUUGAAGGUUGGGUAACACUAACUGGAGGACCGAACCGACUAAUGUUGAAAAAUUAGCGGAUGACUUGUGGCUGGGGGUGAAAGGCCAAUCAAACCGGGAGAUAGCUGGUUCUCCCCGAAAGCUAUUUAGGUAGCGCCUCGUGAACUCAUCUUCGGGGGUAGAGCACUGUUUCGGCUAGGGGGCCAUCCCGGCUUACCAACCCGAUGCAAACUACGAAUACCGAAGAAUGUUAUCACGGGAGACACACGGCGGGUGCUAACGUCCGUCGUGAAGAGGGAAACAACCCAGACCGCCAGCUAAGGUCCCAAAGUCAUGGUUAAGUGGGAAACGAUGUGGGAAGGCACAGACAGCCAGGAUGUUGGCUUAGAAGCAGCCAUCAUUUAAAGAAAGCGUAAUAGCUCACUGGUCGAGUCGGCCUGCGCGGAAGAUGUAACGGGGCUAAACCAUG
rnacentral:rRNA from 1 species